rnacentral:rRNA from 1 species
GAUGAACGCUGGCGGCGUGCCUAAUACAUGCAAGUCGAGCGAACAGACGAGGAGCUUGCUCCUCUGACGUUAGCGGCGGACGGGUGAGUAACACGUGGAUAACCUACCUAUAAGACUGGGAUAACUUCGGGAAACCGGAGCUAAUACCGGAUAAUAUAUUGAACCGCAUGGUUCAAUAGUGAAAGACGGUUUUGCUGUCACUUAUAGAUGGAUCCGCGCCACAUUAGCUAGUUGGUAAGGUAACGGCUUACCAAGGCAACGAUGCGUAGCCGACCUGAGAGGGUGAUCGGCCACACUGGAACUGAGACACGGUCCAGACUCCUACGGGAGGCAGCAGUAGGGAAUCUUCCGCAAUGGGCGAAGGCUUGACGGAGCAACGCCGCGUGAGUGAUGAAGGUCUUCGGAUCGUAAAACUCUGUUAUUAGGGAAGAACAAAUGUGUAAGUAACUAUGCACGUCUUGACGGUACCUAAUCAGAAAGCCACGGCUAACUACGUG